rnacentral:rRNA from 1 species
UACGGGGGGUGCAAACGUUGCUCGGAAUUAUUGGGCGUAAAGCGCACGUAGGCGGUCGCGUAAGUCGGGUGUGAAAGCCCCAGGCUUAAACUGGGAAGUGCACUCGAAACUGCGAGGCUUGAGUAUGGAAGAGGGUCUCGGAAUUCCCGGUGUAGAGGUGAAAUUCGUAGAUAUCGGGAGGAACACCAGUGGCGAAGGCGGAGACCUGGGCCAAUACUGACGCUGAGUUGCGAAAGCGUGUGGAGCAUACAGG